AUGGCUUUAGGUUAUAUAAACUUUACGUCUUCAAAACGUAAGAUUUUUGCUAUU
rnacentral:tRNA from 1 species